GACGAACGCUGGCGGCGUGCUUAACACAUGCAAGUCGAACGAUGAAGCGCUGUCUUUUUGGUGGUGUGGAUUAGUGGCGAACGGGUGAGUAAUACGCGGGCAACCUGCCCCUCUGCUUCGGGAUAAGCUUUGGAAACGGGGUCUAAUACCGGAUGUGCCUGUCUGGUCGCAUGGCUGGGCGGGGAAAGAUGUUUUUCGGCGGGGGAUGGGCUCGCGGCCUAUCAGCUUGUUGGUGGGGUGACGGCCUACCAAGGCGUCCACGGAUAGCCGGCCUGAGAGGGUGGUCGGUCACAUUAGGACUGAGAUACGGCCCAGACUCCUACGGGAGGGAGCAGUGGGGGAUAUUGCACAAUGGGCGCCAGCCUGAUGCAGCGACGCCGCGUGGGGGAUGGAGGCUUUUGGGUUGUAAACCCCCUUUCCGCGCGGUACCA
rnacentral:rRNA from 1 species